GGUUAAUUUCAAGCUCAGAAGGGAAUAAAAAUAAAUCAGGAUUUCUUAGUUUUAGGACUUGCUCCAAUUUCUUCCAAUCUGGCAACUGCAUCUGGAAGCACAAAUAUUGUACAAUCAAAAAUUGUAUCCUCACAUUUGCUUAGGGAGAUUAUGGCCAGGUGUUCAUCAUAUAUAGCCUUCUUCCAUUUUAGACAAACAUUCUCAGCUAUUCUAAGACUUCGGCAAUCCAGAUACCCAAGAAUUGCAUUUGUAAUCUUCGGAUUGUCUGUAAAGAAAGAGAUUCGCAGAUUACAAGCGUUACCAUAAACAACAUGGGAAUUAAGGAUACCAAAAGGCCAAAUCGUUGUAUUUGCAUUCACGUCCAUUACGGUGAAAUAAGUGAUCAGUUCUAAAGGAAAAUAUUGUCAUAUGGAUGCAUACAAAACGUGAAGCUAUGAGAGAAAAUCAAGUGGAAUUUUGAAUUUUGGUAUAACCACAUGUUAGGACUGACAACAAACUGCACGCAAUCGCCAUCUGUUGAUGAUUUUACAAAUCUUAAGUAAACCAUAGUUUUAAAACAUCUUCUACACAAGCUAACUCCUUUUUUGACAGUGUUAAAUCGUUUAACAUAAAAUACUCACAACAGGAUUUUUUUUAAAUUUCUGUGGGUAUGCAAUAAAAUCUUUGGUUCAUU